CCUACGGGAGGCAGCAGUGGGGGAUAUUGGACAAUGGGGGAAACCCUGAUCCAGCGACGCCGCGUGAGUGAAGAAGUAUCUCGGUAUGGAAAGCUCCGUCAGCAGGGAAGAAAGAAAUGACGGUACUUGACCAAGAAGCCCCGGCUAACUACGUGCCAGCAGCCGCGGUAAUACGUAGGGGGCAAGCGUUAUCCGGAAUUACUGGGUGUAAAGGGAGCGUAGACGGGGAUGCAAGUCUGGAGUGAAAGUCGGGGGCCCAACCCCCGGACUGGUCUGGAAACUGGGUAACUUGAGUGCAGGAGAGGUAAGCGGAAUUCGUGGUGUAGCGGUGAAAUGCGUAGAUAUUAGGAAGAACACCAGUGGCGAAGGCAGCUUACUGGACUGUAACUGACGUUGAGGCUCGAAAGCGUGGGGAUCAAACAGGAUUAGAUACCCUUGUAGUC
rnacentral:rRNA from 1 species